CCUGUACUUCAAGGUGUGUUCUGCUCUAAAAUGACAAGCACCCAACGAAGUGAGAGUGCAAACCACAUGUUGAAGAGUUAUAUGCCACCUGCUAGCCCGAUGCACAUUUUUGUGAGGCAGUAUAUGAGGCUCCAGUUUAACCGUGGGAGGGAGGAAAGUUAUGAAAGGACUAUUUGUCAGAAAAACUGA
rnacentral:rRNA from 1 species